GCGAGGGCUGGCGGCGGAGCAGCGUGUUUGCGCAGUGUUGGGCUUCCUUUCUACAAACACGCCACACACUGUGAGGGGGUGGCUGGCGGCCACCUGGGCUAGUAGAUGGUGAGAAUGAGAUAAAGCAUGUGGUUCCUGACUGACAGCAAGGAGGGACACAGAAAUAGCGAGGACAUGUCCAGCAUCUCUGCCAGCUAGCACCAGGCCAAGACCUCCACAAGGUCUUAGAUCUCUGGGACUGUAAAGUCACCAUCCUGAGCCCUCAAGCUAUGGCGGUCAUUCUGAAGCCUACAGAGUCUACUGUGGCAGGUGGGAGCAAAGCUACCUGCAGAAAGCCCUGAGUGGCUCCAGAGGGCAGAGCCUCCAACCUCAGUCCUGGAACACCAAACAGAAACCUCCAGCUAAGCUACCCGCAGCCACAAGUUGAUACAGAAUUCACUGCUGCAGGAAGAACUGGAGGCCAGGAGGCACCCAGGUGAGGUUGUGGUUCCGGGAUUCA
rnacentral:lncRNA from 1 species